UAUUGCUUCUGUAUGGCAUGACACCAGUAAAGACUAAGCUAAAGAUAUUUUGUGUCUUCCACCUGUUGUCCCCAACAGUCAAGCAAAAGCUGGUUCUCCUACAUGGGAACAUGCAAUUGCAGAAAGGUAAACAAUCUAUUUCGUUUUCUGCAUUCUGGCUGUCCCAAAAUUUCAGCCGUCUUUCUCUUUAUGAUUGCCCCAAACCUUGUCCCAACCCAAAACGAGAGCCAAAAGAAUCUAUAGGUUCCUGAAGUACCCAUUUAUUGAACUGAAUUGUUAAUAAUAGUUGAAGAAAGAAGGCAUCCCUUAAGAUUAUAAACUUUUGGGACCACCCCUCUUCUUCCCGAAGCAUCGCACCACCCCAACCGCCGUCUUUACCGCCACAUUCUCUCACCAGAGGUUUGAUCUACACUACCAAUUUCAGACGUCGAAUUACUCACUAUUUUGCUCGAAUUUAAUCAUAAUGGUUCCAUGAAAAUCUGCUCAAGAAUGUUUUGACAAAGUUCAUUUAGAGAGUCAGAACCCACUUUGCACUAAGACAUCUUCAAGUUCUAAAAACCAGAACUCACCAGUCACCAACUGGAUUUCUUAGUCUCUAGCAGUAAAUUGUUCAAAUCUGCUGAAACAAAGAGCAAAAAGCUUUGUGGGUAGAAGUGUAAAAGCCACGUGGCACGUAGAACUGUGAGAUAAUAAUUGCAGAAGUAUUGUCAUGCGUAUCAAGAUAAUGAAGUAGAUUUUUUCGAUGUUCUCAACAGUAAACCCCUCGGUUGAAGCCCUUCAGCUGAAUGCUCUACAAUUGACUCCGAAUCUGAGAAGCCCAAAUUCGUCCUUAAAGUCUCGCGACAUAUCUUCUUUAGGCCAUAAGAAGCACCUUUCUAGGUUUAGCGAUAGAAGUGCAAGCCCUCUUUCAAGUCUUCCAGUUCUGAAGAAGGUCAAGUAUGGCUUUACAUGAAAAGUAUAUUGACCAGUUACAUAUCAGGGACGGCAAGAGAAGAAGUCAGCUCGUCAUCAAAAGGAUGGAGAAGAUAACACUGUUCACAUGAAGGAUGUCACUAAAGCUGCAAGAGAGUCCCUAGCUAGAAUGGUUUAUUUAACUUUUUUAUGUUGUUUUGCAUUCUUUACAGAAUAUGAUGGAUAAACAAAAGGGUAAUAAUUACCAUUUGGUGGUUCCAUGUUUACUAGCUCAUUUCCUAUUCUUCGUUACAA